AGAAACUUAGGAUAACACAAACCAGAGGCCUUCAGAGCCUUAAAUGAGAGUUAAACUCUCUUAGUUUCUG
rfam:Chaetura pelagica isolate M959 contig68779, whole genome shotgun sequence.